UACGUAGGGGGCAAGCGUUGUCCGGAUUUAUUGGGCGUAAAGAGCGUGUAGGCGGUUUGGUAGGUCCGCUGUGAAAACUCGAGGCUCAACCUCGAGACGCCGGUGGAAACCAUCAGACUAGAGUCCGGAAGAGGCGAGUGGAAUUCCGGGUGUAGCGGUGGAAUGCGUAGAGAUCCGGAAGAACACCGGUGGCGAAGGCGGCCUGCUGGGCAGUGGCUGACGCUGAGGCGCGACAGCGUGGGGAGCAAACAGG
rnacentral:rRNA from 1 species